rnacentral:rRNA from 1 species
UACGAAGGGGACUAGCGUUGCUCGGAAUUACUGGGCGUAAAGCGCACGUAGGCGGUCUUUUAAGUCGGGGGUGAAAUCCUGGAGCUCAACUCCAGAACUGCCUUCGAUACUGGAAGACUUGAGUCCGGGAGAGGUGAGUGGAACUGCGAGUGUAGAGGUGAAAUUCGUAGAUAUUCGCAAGAACACCAGUGGCGAAGGCGGCUCACUGGCCCGGUACUGACGCUGAGGUGCGAAAGCGUGGGGAGCAAACAGG